rnacentral:rRNA from 1 species
AUUGAACGCUGGCGGCAGGCCUAACACAUGCAAGUCGAACGAGUGGCGGACGGGUGAGUAAUGUCUGGGAAACUGCCCGAUGGAGGGGGAUAACUACUGGAAACGGUAGCUAAUACCGCAUACCAUCGGAUGUGCCCAGAUGGGCUUAGCUAGUAGGUGGGGUAAGGGCUAACCUAGGCGACGAUCCCUAGCUGGUCUGAGAGGAUGACCAGCCACACUGGACCUGAGAACCGGUCCAGCCUCCUACGGGAGGCAGCAGUGGGGAUGAUUGAACAAUGGGCGCAAGCCUGAUGCAGCCAUGCCGCGUGAAUGAAGAAGGCCUUCGGGUUGUAAAGUACUGUCAGCGAGGAGGCGUUACUCGCAGAAGAAGCACCGGCUAACUCCGUGCCAGCAGCCGCGGUAAUUC